rnacentral:lncRNA from 1 species
AAAGACAUGUUAAUGUUAAAUUCAGAUAAGUCGAGAUUUCCUUCUACGACCAAAAAUACAUAUCAAUAACAUAACGUUUUCCCUUUUCCAAAACAAUUUAUAUGGAAAUUAUAUUAUAAAUUUAAUCAUAAAAUUGAUUGAAAUUUAUUUUUAGUUACAGAAACUGAUGAAAAGAAGUUUAAAAGAGUUUAGGAGAGUCCUAGUGUAGGUUCAAUUAUUACGCUCUCUACAAACUCUUUUGAUACAUAUCACUGAUAGAUAUGAGAUUAACAUGCAGAACACGCGAUGAUACAGUAAAGUAAAGAAUAUCGAAUUUGAAUUUUCCUUCAUAUAGCUUCAACAGUGAUGCUAAAUUCUCAUGACAUCCACGUAGGACUUUCCAUCAAGUUUUUGAGAAAAUAGGCCCUUGAAAUAGUCCUUCACUCCUAUGCUUCUGAAUCGUGGUGGUGUUUCUUCACUGAUCAAGCUUGAUGCAGGACCCACCACACCAUCUUCAUUUGGACUAUAGAAUGUUGCAAUUGAGACUCUUUCUUUUUCUGCAUUUACUGUUGCUCGAUGCUCAAUGCUUUUGUAAAUUCCGUUCGUUGAAAUCUAUGCUUCAAACACAUGCAAAAUAGUGCAAAAUCAAGUGAGUUUGACAUUCACCGUGAUAUGCAUAGUAUAUUUUGUGGUCCUCACUCCAAUAAUGUCUCAAAGACACUGCUACAGCAUUGUUGAAAAAGAAAAUGUUCUUAAACGAAUGAUAUGAAACGAUAUAAAAUCAUUAAUAAUAUAAUAUUACCUCUAAUAUGUCCCCAACAUUUACAAUGAAUGCAUUUGGAAAGGGGUUAACUGGAACCCACAAGCCAUUUUUUCUUAUCAGCAACCCUUCUACUUGAUUGAGUUGUAGGAGAAUAGUGAGUCCAGUUGAAUCUGAAUGAGGAGUGAGGCCAAUAACCUUAUCUGGUUGAGGGCAUGGAGGGUAGUAAUUCAUCCUCAUCAUCUAGCUAUUUGGCUAUUUGGUUCUGGGUUCCUAAUCAACCCAAAUUCCUCAAUCAUCUUCAUGCUCUUUUAUGAUGUAACAAAAAAUAAAAAAUUAAGCAACCACAACUGUCAAUUCAUCACUAAAACACUCAAAACUGUUUAGGUUCACACACUCACUUGGUUUAAUUGGUUUCAUUCCUUAUUCUUUUGUCAUUCUCUAUUCUAAUCAAUCAUCCUGUUAAUUUUCAUGUAUCAAAAUUUCAACUAGAUUUGAAUAGAGAUUCAAUCAUAUUUUCUUUUCUAACCUGUGUCUAAUUCAUCUCAAUAUCCUACUAUUUGAUCAUCAUAAGGUUGGAUCUUGGAUUCAGAAAUCCUCAUUUUCUUGAAAGUUUUCCAAUAUAAAAUGUCGAUCGAAUCGCCUUGAUCUACAAGACCCUGGUGAUGGCAAAUUUUUCAAUCUCUAUUGCAAUAACCACAGGGUUGUCCUGAGCUGAAUCAAUAAUAGUAACAUUAUCAGUUGUGAAAAGAAUUGGAGGAAUCCUCGGUUGGUCCCUUCUAGUGGUUGGACUGAUUGAAUAGCUUGAAUGAUGGAUUUGUGUCUCCUUUCUUGCGGUUUUUAUUGAUGAAUGCAGAAGCUCCAUGGAUUGAUGGUGGAACAAGGCUCUCCUAAGAGUGAUGUUAGCCUUGGAGGUGCAUGAGAAGUAUGAUUUGAGAGAGGUGAGGCCUACUCUUCUUGGAGGUGCAAUUUCAGAAUAUUAAAAGCCUAAUUCCUAAGAGGUUUAGGCAAAGAGUGAGAAUGGCUCAAAUUUGGCAGCAUUUCACUAAUGAAUUAAUCUUGCAUUUACAUGACCCAAGUUCCUCUAUAUAUAGCAAGAGUGGGCUGAAAAUGAAAAGAGAAUUGGAGGGAAAUUCAAAUAUUGGCACAUGGGAAGGUGGCUCCUAUAUUCAGCAUGUGCUAGGAGUUCUAGAACCUUACGCUCCACUUAGGCUAAAUGUGGGCUGGACCUAAGUUUAAUUAGGAGUAUAAAACUCUAAUUAAACUUAGGUUAGCAUAUUAGGGACCACUUUGCAUGUUUCAACAAAAAUACAAAAAAAUUAAACUAUGCUAAUUUUGACAAAAAAUGUAAAAACUAUUCUACACUAGAGUUUAUGACAUGUAGAAUGCGUCCUCUUGACCCCUCUUUGACCAUAAUUCUAGUGGUUGCCUCAAUUUGACAUUUUGGUGGCCUUUCAAUUGAUUGGUGUUGGGGCCUCUUUCAUCAUCCCCUCCCUCUUGAAAAGGAUUUGUCCUCAAAUCCAAGGCUUUGUCCUCAUCAUUAGUAGAGGGAUGUAUGUGUCUAGAUGGUGUCCAUCAUCAACUCCUUCUUGAGAAAAUCUAUCCUCAGAUCCAUAGGGUCGAUCUCGGAUAGCAGCCUCUUGCUUUGACAACUAGGCUUGGCCUCCCAGAUCAAACGUCCAUCUAUGGGAAUCAUUAAACAAAGAAAAUGAGUUAGUUGAAGCAAUUGUAUAAAAAUCAACUUUAUGAAGUUGCCAUUCCUCUUGUUUUUCUAUUGUUUUUGGCAAUUUCUCAUAAUAUUUCUCUAUUUGUUGUUGUAUUUGUUCUUGAAUCCUCUCAUGCAUUUUUUUAACAAAUUUAGCUUUUGUAACUCCUUCCUUAUGCACAAAGGUAUGUGGAUUAGGAAGGGGUAAUAAUCUAAAGGAGUAAGAGGAUCAAAAUCAUUACAACUUCAAAUGAAGAAAUAUUAAUAGUCUUGUGAACUACUUUAUCGUUUGCAUAAUUAUCCCUAGAGUUGUUGAUGGCAUUCCUUUGAGCUCUUCUUUGUGUUUUGGUGAUGAACUUGCGGAAGCUAGUGGAGGAGAUGAAGCAAGGCCUUCCUAGGAAGUAUGGGUGCCUUGAAGGUGCAUGAGAGUGGGGAAUUGGGGAGGUUCGGCCAGCCCUUUUGAAGGUGAUGAAGUGAAGAUUAAAACCUAGAGGCUAGGCAAGGAGUAGUGUAUGACACAAAUUUGGCAGCAUAACAAUACUCUAUUCAAUCUUCAAAAUAUACAUGAGGUUGGCUCCUCCUUUUAUAGGCUAAGGAGGACCUGAAAUGAUGACCUAAAUGAUGAGAAAAUGCAAACCAAAUGAAAUGCAAAAGAGUAGCACAUGGAGGCACAUGGAGCACAUGGCACAUGGGUGCACAUGGCCUCCUAACUUGCACAUGGACGUCCUAGAUUAGUGGAGAGCUUCUAGAAACCGUAGCUAAUUUAGGUUAACUCAUCCUUAAUCCUAAUUUGCAGAAUUUAAUCAAAGGUUCAUAAGGCUAUGCUAUUUACAUCACAAUUAAGACUAAGCUACACUUGAUGGGCUUCUUGGGCAUGUUUCCCUUUUAUUCGUAACGCCCUUGCUCUUGGCCUAGACGCUCCUUUGUGGUUGCCCUUCAUGCAAGGUUGUCCUAGAUGCUCCUUUGUGGUCCUAGACGCUCCUUUUUGGGUUGCCUUCAUGCAAUGGUUGUCCUAGACGCUCUUGUGGGUGCCCUUUAUGAAAGGUGGUGUGGGCCUCUUCCAUCAGUUGUGAUUGUCUCUCAUGAUUACUCUAAGCAUAGUAGAAAAAGUUAUAUUUUCAACUUCAUUUUGGUCAUUUGUUUGAGGAUGAUAAGAAAUUGAAAAGUUCAACUUAGUUCCAAGUUUUUCCAAAAGAAUCCUCAAAAUAUGGUUUUCACAUUUGGUUCUCUAUUUAACACUAUGCUUGGAGAUAAACCAUGAAGUCUUAUCACUUCUCUGAAGAAGAGCUUAUCCAUAACCAUAAAAAUGGAAUCAAAACCUUUUGUUGUCCUAUGAAGUUCUAAUAUAAAAUCUAUGCUUAUGUCUUCCCAUGGAGCACUUGCAAAAGGUGAAGGAGCAUGGAGUUCAUGAGACAUUGCCUUAGAGUUAGUUUUAAAAUAAGAAAUACAUCUAGGGUAAUGUUUUUGAACAUCUUUCCUCAUGGGUGACCAAAAGAAUUUUCCUUUUAAAAGCUUUAGAGUUUUAUCAACUCUAAAUUGGCCCAUGAGUUCUCCUUCAUGAAGAAUUUCUUUUUUAUGUGUGAAGGUAGUCUCGUUGGUACGACCAUUGAGCACGGAAAUUUUAACACUUUGCAAUGGUCGUCUCAAUAAGACAUGACAAGUUUCUUUAGGCACUAGCUCACAUAAAAAUUUAUCUUUGUAGAUGUCUAUAGAUAACUUGACCCUCACUUGUUGGUGAUAUCUUAGCACAUGCUUAAAAUAAUCUACUACAUAUUUAUCUAUGCAAUCCCCCUUUAAGGGUUCCUUUUUCACUAUGCUUGUAAGGGAUGUUGUAAGAUAUUCCUUAUUCUUUCUAGAUUCACACAACCCCUCACUUGGCUUUUCUAUUUCUUUCUUCUUCUUUUUCUCAUUUUCUUCACUCUCACUAGUUUCUUUUUCUUGGCUACUAUAUUCAUCUUUGUUCCUUAAGAUCAUAGAUCUUUCAUUGGAACAACUAGAUGCUAAAUGACCCUUACCAAGACAUUCUAAACAUUGAAUUUCUUUAGCUUGAGUGUGUGAGAUAUGCUCGGCUAAGUUUUUGGAAAGUUUUAGAGAUGUUUCUUUUAUAUGUUCUUCCCCUCUUUGGAACUCAUCCUUGUCAUAAGAUACAGAGUAUUAACUUUGUUUUUAACUUGAUUGUUUUCUCAAAAUUUGUUUUUCAACUUUAAUGCUAAGUUGAAUCAAGUCAUUUAAAUCUCUAUAAAAUAAAAGUUCAACUUUGUUUCUUAUGUCAAGUUUGAGACCACUUAAAAAUCUAGCUAUGGUGGUAUGGUUGUCUUCGUUAAUCCUUGCCCUUUUUAUAUAUAUCGCCAUCUUUUGCUAAUAUUCUUCUACACUUAGAUUUUUUUGAUGACGUCCUUGGAGUUUGUCCAUUGACUUCCUGUUGUAGGAUGAAGGAAUAUGACGGCAUCUCAAGGCUCCCCUAAGGUCAUUCCAAUAUGUAAUGGGAGGGUCCUUGUGGAGAUGUCUCUCUCUUUUUAGGGCAAUCCACCAAUUCAUAGCAUUUCCUUGAAAACUUAAUAUGGCUAAGGGUACCUUUCUUUCCUCACUUACUCUAUGUCAAACAAACAAUUGUUCUACCUUCAUUUCCCAAUCUAGAUAGGUUUCUACAUUUUCUUUCCCAUGGAAAUAAGGUAGAUCUACCCUAACCUCCUUAGUGCUUUCUUGUUCUUUUCUUUCUCUUCUAGUUCUCCUAGGGGGUGGUUGAUAAUAUUCAUUUAUCCUAAGACUUUCUUCCCCAAAAGAUUCAUGAUUGUGAGAACUAAAUGCAUGUAAAUAUAUUUUUUUAGAUUUUUGAGAGCUUUCAUCCUUUUCUUUAGUCAUUUUUAAUUCUUUGAUUUGUACCUCAUGUUCCCAUUGUCUAUAUGAGAAUGAUUGAAAGUCCUUGGCUAAUUGUUUUAAAACAGUUUUAAUGGACUUUAUAUCACUUUCACUAGAUUUAGAAGAGUGAGUUGACAUGACUAAAGCUUUCUGUUUAAAAGUAUUUUACCUCAAGAAAGAAAAGGAAAGUAGUGAAGGUAGCUUUUCAAGAAAGAGAGGUGAGUCACUAGGACUUCUUAAGUACCAAGUCUUUCCUUGCCAAAACCUAUCCCUAAAAAACUUCACACAAUUCUUUUUCUAAGUAAAUUACAUAGAUCACAAUGAAGAAUGAAAAGUCAAUUUUAUACAAAGGAAAACAAUGCAAAGCAAUUAAGCAAACAAAACAAAUAAGCAAUGCUAAUCAAGUAAUUAACGUAAAGUAAUUAGCUAAGCAUAAUUAAAGAUUGCUAACUACAAAGCUUUAAGCUAGACGAUUCCUAAGGUGAGGCUUCUAGACACUUGGAGCCUUUGAAGACACACUCACCGUCUAUAUGUGAUUAAUCCACUAAUUAAUCAAAGGUUAAAUGUAAUUACAACUCAAAGAAAUACAGAGAAAAUGAAUUACACAAAUUAAAAUUCAGAUUUCCUAAACUAUGCACUCCUUGGCUUGUAAUUGCUCUUCUUUGUUGUGUUCUCCAAAGCGUGUGUGUGUUUGUAUUUGUAUUUUGCUGCAGCUCCUUACCUUAACCUCUUAUGAAUAGACAAUUAAAUUCUCCAAAACAGUACCUACUAAGUAGAGGUAGACUCACCACAAAGUCAAUUCCACUUAACAAGCACCAAUUGAAUUUAUCCACCAACAAUUUAGAGGUCAAGAAAAGAAAGCAAAAAACAAAUUAAAUUUUAAAAUAGUACCACAAAAAAUGGAUUUGAAUUAUGUGACACAACUUAGAAAGAGUUUAGAAUCAUAUUGGACAAGCAAAUAAAAAUAGGCCCUCAACAAAGGAUAGCACACAAAAGGAACCUAAAGAAAGGCACUAGAAUUGAUUAGAAAAACCAAAACAACAAUACUGGAAAAUUCAGGUUCAGAAAGCGUGACUUAAAAUAUUUAUGCUGAGCUGGCUAUUUUGAAUUUGCUUCUGAAAAUUUAACCACAAAUGAUUCAAUGUCUUAACAAACUUUUGGCGCUGGAAUCACACCAAAAAUAUGCACCAAUUAAUUGUGAUAAAUUUUUCAAAAAUCACUGUCCAACUACCGUAUAUUUUGGUGCCAGGAUGCACUUUUUUUUUUUGUUUUAUUUAUCAUUUUUUCUCUAUUUUGUCUUUUUGUCUGAUUCUUUUAUUCUUGAUUUUCUAACACAUCAAACUGUAUUAAUCCAGAUUUUCAUAAUUUUUCUCCAACGUAUUUGAAAUUCAUAACAAAAAAAUAGUUAGUGCAGAAUUUGAAAAACACAGGAGUCCUAAUUCUGGAAUUCAAAAACAGUACAAGAAACUUCAAAAACACAAUGGAGUAGAUGUAUAUGAAUUUGUAUGGAACUAGCAUACAAAUAUGAACUCAAACUAAAAGAAAAAUGCACCAAAGGAUCAAUCAAACACAGAAAUAUAAAUCUGGACUCAAAUGAAAUCAAGAAACCAAAAUUAUCAACAAAUUCAACACUACAAGGAUUUGAUGACAAAUUAGGAAAAACAAGACUUAGACAAAACAUAAUAGGAUUCAUAAAUUAAAAUGACUCAAAACACAUCAUAUGAACUGAAUAAAAUUUCAAACAAGACUCAAACAACCUAAAAUCAAAACAGCAACACAAUUCUAUAUAGAUUCCUACACAAAAUAUGAAAAUAAGAAGCUCAAGAACAAUUUGAACAUUUUGCACGGAUUGAAUUGCUUCAAACAGCACCUAAAUCAAAUUAAAAAGAAUAACACAGCAAGACAACAUGAAGAAGUGAAGAACAACACGGAAAUAAGAAGAACACAAUCAUAAAAUUGUAAGAAGACACUUAGCUCUUGUAGAACCUAUGCUCAUAAUACCAAAUGAUGGAUUUGUGUCUCCUUUCUUGCAGGUUUUGUUGAUGAAUGCGGAAGCUCCAUGGAUUGAUGGUGGAACAAGGCUCUCCUAAGAGUGAUGUUAGCCUUGGAGGUGCAUGAGAAGUAUGAUUUGAGAGAGGUGAGGCCUACUCUUCUUGGAGGUGCAAUUUCAGAAUAUUAAAAGCCUAAUUCCUAAGAGGUUUAGGCAAAGAGUGAGAAUGACUCAAAUUUGGCAGCAUUUCACUAAUGAAUUAAUCUUGCAUUUACAUGACCCAAGCUCCUCUAUAUAUAGCAAGAGUGGGCUGAAAAUGAAAAGAGAAUUGGAGGGAAAUUCAAAUGUUGGCACAUGGGAAGGUGGCUCCUAAAUUCAACACAUGUGAGGUAGGUUCUAGAAUUCUUCCAUGUGCUAGGAGUUCUAGAACCUUACGCUCCACUUAGGCUAAAUGUGGGCUGGACCUAAGUUUAAUUAGGAGUAGGAAACUUUAAUUAAACUUAGGUUAGCAUAUUAGGUACCACUUUGCAUGUUUCAACAAAAAUACAAAAGAAUUAAACUAUGCUACUUUUGACAAAAAAUGUAAAAACUAUUCUACACUAGACUUUAUGACAUGUAGAAUGCGUCCUCUUGACCCCUCUUUGACCAUAACUCUAGUGGUUUCCUCAAUUUGAUAUUUUGGUGGCCUUUCAAUGGAUUGGUGUUGGGGCCUCUUCCAUCACCGAAGGUGCUUCUUGUAGGCUGAACUAAAACACCCCCUGCAUGCAAAUCCUCUCGCAAUGGUAUUAAUGACCUCGCUAACAUCGUGUCUUGAAUGGUCGUCACGUCGAGGACUUUCACUUCUUCUUGAAUAAUUACCCCGUCUGGGGAUCUCACUUCUUCUUUGUUGUUUCAUAAGGCGUCAGUCGUCCUUAGAACGUCGUGACCUUGUAGCUAAAGAUGACAUAUGGUGCGAUCAACUUGUAGCGUAUUGAGUGCUAAACUUUGUCGACAAAGUUUUGAAACUAUCUACUGAAUUGGGCGGAAGCUGCGUAAACCAACUGAGUGCUCUGAGAGAAGUUGGAAAAACCAUGCACCAUAUCGCCUUAUUCGUAGUGUAUAGAUUCAUUUGUGUUUUAUAGAUGUUCAUGUGUUCUUUCGGAUCUGUAGAACCAUCAUAGAGUUUGAUAUUAAGUUCUUUCCAUUUGGUAGGGAGUUGUGCCUCUAUGAUCUCAUCGGUGAAAGGGUUUCCAUUUGGAUCAUCAUCUUCAUCAAUUAUUGGAGUUCGUUCGGUAUGCCGUUUCUAUGCUUGCUGAGUGUGUCUAAACGGUUAUUGAUUUCUCCUGAUUAUGGGUAGGAUCAUUUGAACAAGAUUUCUCUCUAUGCUCGGAUCUAGCGAUUCGUCGUUUCGACUCCUCAUUUUGUUCCUUGAGGAGAGACACCCCUUCUUCAUUCUUUUGUCAAUCUUCAGUGCUUUUUUGGCACAUCUCUUCCAUUUGCUUUUGAAGUGUUUUGAACAUAGCGAUCUGGUCAUCAGAAAUUUGAUCCUUGUUUAUUGUGUGCCUUGUCGAAAUCAUUGUUGUUUGUUGUAUUUAUCUCGACCUCACGGUGGGUACCAAUUCUACUUGUAAAGACAAAGUGGACAUAGAUAGUACCUAAAAUUGAUUGUACAAUUGUUGACGUCUCGGUCGUUCGAUCGCUCCCUCGUUCCUCACUUCAAGUUCCUUCUAUGAUUCUAGUUGCUCGGUCGGGGUUGACCUAAAAAAGGUACUCCGGUGAUCAAGUAAGUACUCAGUACAAUGUAUAUUAUGAACUGAUCAAAUGUGUACCUUGCUACUUUGUAGAGAGUUUAUUUAUAAUGUUUAGUCAUGGAUCAUCUAUUGUAAUGGGUUGAAUCUAUCGUAUAUUAAGUUAACUUGAUUUGGGAUUCUCUGAUUUCUCAGGACAUUACCCGAAUUUGGUGGAACAUGUCCUAUAUUUUCAAAGAGUUUUUGCAACUGCCUUAAAUGUUAUUUAUUAUAAUUGCUUAAAUGUAUUCUCAACCGAUCGAUCAUCGAGACCGAGUGCUCGUCUGGUACGACCCGACCAUUUCAAGUAAGCCAUUUCUCUGUAUACCUUUUCUUUCUCUUCAACCAUUUUUAUAUUGUAUUUGCUUCUUCAAGAAGUCACGCUGAAUAAUAGAGUCCCAAAGAUUAAUAAUAUGUAAUUAUUUUUCUUUUUCUCUCUCGUUUUCUGUGUUCUGUUCUGCUAGAGUUUAUUUUGCCCUCUUUUGUUUUCACGUUUCAAACGGUGAUUCCGUGUUCAUUAUUCUUCAUUUUCACACAUGAAGCAUGAUCAGCUUUCAAUAUUUAUAUAUUGAAAUGUAGCAAAUAGAUACUAGCCAAGAUGUUAGGCUAUCCGUGGAUUUUGUUAGUACAAUGUUGCAUGUGCAUUCACUAUUUAUUUGAAAAAUAUCGUUAAUCAUUCAAUAAUUAUUAAAUUAAUAUAACGAACAAGAAAAGGAAACCUAAAUUUAAUCAUGUUAAAUACCUGACCUUGUAAAGAUUAUUCAAUUUGGCACCACGGAAAAGGAUAAAGUUAAUUUGUUCCCACUUUCCGACCUUUUGAUCAAGAUGUGACAAUAAUUAUUAAUUUGUUAUUAUAGAAGUAUAUACCAUUUUGGGUGAAUUAGUGUAUAUUCAUAAUUAAAUGUGAGUAGAAGGAGUCAAUAUUGGCCAAAUUGAUUUUGAAAGAAAUGAUAGUAUGCUUCAUCAAUUUAAGUUAAACAUAUGUGGGUCCAAUUUUCACGGUAGGUUAAAAGCAAUUUUGUUUAGCUUCUAUAUUUUAGGUUAACAAUCAAACGUACAUUUAAUCUUGUAAAAUUGAUUUUGUUAAAUUAGUUUUUCAUUAUUAAGAGAAUGCAUGUACUGGUAAGGUAAACUUGUUAAUUUAAGAUUUACUCAAUAAAAAAUGAUUUAAUUGAUUUAAUAGGUUUUCAUAUAAUUUUUCUUAAAAUUCUUGUUAAUUUAAGAUUUAUUCAAUAAAAAAUAAUUUAAUUGAUUUAAUAGGUUUUCAUAUAAUAUUUUUUAAAUUUUUUAUUAAUAAGUAUAAAUUAUUUAAGUAUCUUUUUUUUAUAUUUUUUAUAUAUGAAAACUUUAUAAAAAAAAUAGUUUUUUGCUAAAAUAAUGUAUGGUUAGAGUUUAUUUACUAAAGUAAGUCAAAAGUAUAUAAUGUAAAGUUUUUUAUCCAACACAAAGAUUAGUUUAAAAAAAAUCAUAUCGUUUACACGAAUUCAAUUUAUAAUAAUUUAUCUAAAAUCACUUUAUAGGCAUAAAAAAUUCAACGCAAAGUCGAACCACUAAAUAACCCGAACGUUUUUCUAUACGUCACUUUGAAUUAAAAAAUUUAGAUUGAAUAUUAUUACAUAAACAAUUGCAGAACGAAUAACAAAAAUUAGAGUAAAUUAUUUUUGCUUUCUCAAAAUUUAAAUUAUUAAAACUUUUACAUUAAAAUAAAGUUACACUAAAAUAUUAAAAAUAUUUUACUACAAAAAAAUCUGCAAAAAAUAAAAUAAAACAUCAUAUUAUCACCCUAGCCAUAUAGAUGAUGUUAAGUAUGUAAAUAGGUCAGCAUAGAAAGACAUGUUAAUGUUAAAUUCAGAUAAGUCGAGAUUUCCUUCUACGACCAAAAAUACAUAUCAAUAACAUAACGUUUUCCCUUUUCCAAAACAAUUUAUAUGGAAAUUAUAUUAUAAAUUUAAUCAUAAAAUUGAUUGAAAUUUAUUUUUAGUUACAGAAACUGAUGAAAAGAAGGUUAAAAGAGUUUAGGAGAGUCCUAGUGUAGGUUCAAUUAUUACGCUCUCUACAAACUCUUUUGAUACACAUCACUGAUAGAUAUGAUUAACAUGCAGAACACACGAUGAUACAAUAAAGUAAAGAAUAUCGAAUUUGAAUUUUCCUUCAUAUAGCUUCAACAGUGAUGCUAAAUUCUCA